CGGGGGCCCUUACAAAUAGUAGUGUUGCAGACGUCGGGGGAGACGGAUGAUUCUCCCCGACCUCGUCGUGGGUGUUGGGAGUAUUAUAUUCCCAACACCUUUUAUGUUGAUUUUAAUUGAAUUCUUAGCCGAAGUUGAUGGAGUUUCAGGAGUUGAUUUUCUAAUCAAACAGUUCGCUUCUUCAUACAUGGAAAAAGAACACGUGGUUGACACGUCCUCUUCCCUAGCUGAUCCGGACCACCUCGACAAAUCUUGGUUUUUCCCUAUGCAAAAUGUUUACCUAGGAUUGAAUGCCACUAGUUUAUACUACGAUUUGAAACAAAAGCAUAGGGACCAUUUGCAAAGCACAUCCCACACACCAUCCUGACGUCUUUUAAAACAUAUUUUUUCAUCGUAACGGCACUACUAGAAUUUUUUAUUUCUGUCCUGAAAUCCUACAAU